rnacentral:rRNA from 1 species
GCAAGUCGAGCGGAAACGAAGAAUAGCUUGCUAUUCUGGCGUCGAGCGGCGGACGGGUGAGUAACGCGUAGGAAUCUACCUAGUAGUGGGGGAUAGCCCAGAGAAAUUUGGAUUAAUACCGCAUACGCCCUGAGGGGGAAAGGAGGGGAUCUUCGGACCUUUCGCUAUUAGAUGAGCCUGCGUAAGAUUAGCUAGAUGGUGGGGUAAUGGCCUACCAUGGCGACGAUCUUUAGCUGGUUUGAGAGGAUGAUC